AAAACCUCCAGUGGUUAAUGGUGGCCAGCCUGGCAGGGCCCUGACUCAGCAGCAGGGUCCAUCAGACCGGUGGGAUGCAGACGUGGAAUGUCCAGGUCAGAACCAGCACGACAGAGGGACACGCAAGGCAGGUACUCUACUGAAGAAAAAUCACUCUGAUCAGAAUCUUGGCGAGCCUGAGAGCAGAGGUUUCAGAGGGAGCUGGUCUCAGCAUAAGGAAAUAGACUCCAGUGACAACUCAGUGGUCUUUGGGAAGGAAUGCUCUGGAUGAUGAAAGUAGCUGCCAGGGGACUUUUCACGUUAAAGGAAACAGAGCAGGAGAUGAUAAGCUUUCAGGGAAGGUCACUGUUGAUUUUACUCUUGAUGCCUUCUAUGCAAUGGCUGGCUUGAAAAACAGUAGCUGUGUUUAUCCGAAUUCAAUUUUAACACGCAGUACUUUGAAGAUGAGGUUAUUUCGAUAUUCGUGAAAUCGUGGGAUGAUUCAAAGAAAGAAGCCUAUAAACGGUGGUUGCUUGAGAGCUUUGCAGCCCCUUACAUGGAUGGAGGACCCCGCAGACACCUGGGAGAGCCCAGACCAGACUGGAUAGAGGCCGACUCCCAGCAGCACUGGCUCCACACCGCGUCUAGUUUUAUUUUAUUCAGCAUCCCUAAGUUGAUCAGCAUAAGACUUGGUAUUUAAUGACUCCAGGCAUUUCUCUGAACAUCACAAUAAUCAUUGAUCAAGUCACAUCUUUCUUUCCUACUCAAGCUUCUGAAAGCAGUGAUGUGUUGCCACCUGUGCCCACUGAGGGCUUUCCAAGGGGGUGCAGCCGACCCCCACCAGAUCCUGCCCAUGCCUCACGCCCCCCCCACACCUGGAGCCAGCGUCCAUGGCCCCCACAGCCUCCUGGGGGGACUUGGCAAAGGACAAAUAUAAAUUAGAAAGAAGAGGCUUAAGCCUCCCUGUUGAAAAUAAGGGAAAAGACUUAUACCCCCUCCUUUUUGUUUUAGAUCAGUUACCUUAGAAAACAUGUCAUUAUAAAUUCUUUCUCCUCUCUUUGAAGUGUGUAUAAAUCCUUUCACAGACUAGAAAGGUCUCUGGCCAGCAUUAAUGCCCAGGAUUGCCUUUCUUGAGCACUGGAAAGGGAAGAAGCACCCCCAUCUCCCAGUUCCUGGGGGAGGCUAGGAGUCUAACUCCCGCGGGAGCUUGCUCCAAGUUGCAAAGCUACCUCCUGUCAUAAAAGUAUGAGAAGCUUGUUCUUCCUCUGAACUAGAGCCACCUACCUAACACAGAUGGUCACCCCAGGGCCAGGGACUCUAGGAGGAACUCUGUGUGACACAUGGUACUGUCAAGUCCUCUACCUGAGGACUAGUUAUCGUUUACCUUGAGAACACUUAUGUAGUGUGUUGUAUCUGCUUGGCCAUGCUCCAGGUGAGAUUUCUUUCUCUUUUUGGGAUCUCUUAGCGGAUUGCUAUGAUCUGCAUCACAUUCUGGUUUCAUGUUAACUCAAUAAUAUAGGUGUUUUCUUUCCUUUCUACCUUUGCAGAGAGGGCUUCUGGGUUGGGAGGAGAUUUUGCUUUUAUUUCUAUUUCCCCAACCAGGGAUAGGGGAGCAUCUGGGGGAGUACUGGUCCUAUUGGCAGAGAGAAGCCAGACUCCUUUGGAGUCUUAGGAGGUCCUCAUGUUUCCAUCUGUGCAUGCCUCUCUUCCCUGGCUGCAUCUAAGGCACCGGGGGACAGGGUGCUAACACGCUCCACUCAGAUUCCCCGAGUCUUCUUUCUAGGACCCUCUCUGAGACAGAUGGUCUGUGCCUACACCCCACAUUUCCUGGGGAGGGAUCCUUUCCCCACACCAUCUUUAGUUAGCUCCCCUCUCCAUUUUCCAGACUCCCAGGGCAUGUGAGUGAACGACUAUAGGCUCAGUCAUGUCCCCUCCAAUUCCUAUGUUGAAAUCCUAACCCGCAGGACCUUAGAAUACGCCUGUAUUUGGAGAGAGUAGUUUUAGAGUGGUAAUUAAUUUAGGGUGGGCCCUUCAGGAGAAGCAAAAGGCUUCUUCCACUCUUUUUGAUCCCGUGGCUGGUCCAAGAACUAAGUUGACAUAAAACUGAUGAGCAGGAGAAAAAAAAUCAGUUUAAAUUAUACACAUAUUCAUGGGAGUUUCACAAAAAUAUGAGACUCGGAGGCAGGUGGCCAGAUGAUUGAGACACAUGCCACCCUGAGCUACUGUGAAGAACAGGGGCUUGGAGUUUGUAGGGGGAGAGGAGAUUAUGACAGAGUUUACCUUGCCUUGCAGACGAGAGUCUCUCAGGUAACAAAAUUAUCUCUGGGAGUUAUCCUCCUUCUGGAACAGACACCUUGACUAAUGGAAAUUUCCUUUACAAAAGGGGAGACACAGGCUUUAUUUUAAGCAGUUAGGGGGAGGUAAAGAGCUUUUUCUGUGUAUUCUGGUUUCCCAUCACCUUUAACUCAAAAUAAUUCACACACUAAAGUGGCAUCUUCUGAACACUGUCAGCCCUAACCCAGCAUGACUGGUGUCCUUGCAAGGGGGAUUAGGACACAGAUACACACCCAGGGAAAGCCACAUGAAGACACAGAGUGAAGACUGCAAGCCAGGAGAAAAGGUCUUAGAAGGAUCCCUGUGGCCACCUCGA